rnacentral:rRNA from 1 species
UACGUAGGGUGCAAGCGUUGUCCGGAAUUAUUGGGCGUAAAGAGCUCGUAGGCGGUUUGUCGCGUCGACUGUGAAAACCUACAGCUUAACUGUGGGCUUGCAGUCGAUACGGGCAGACUUGAGUUCGGUAGGGGAGACUGGAAUUCCUGGUGUAGCGGUGAAAUGCGCAGAUAUCAGGAGGAACACCGGUGGCGAAGGCGGGUCUCUGGGCCGAUACUGACGCUGAGGAGCGAAAGCGUGGGGGAGCGAACAGG